AUUGAACGCUGGCGGCAGGCUUAACACAUGCAAGUCGAGCGGAGACUUCGGUCUUAGCGGCGAACGGGUGAGGAAUGCCUGGGAAUCUGCCUGGUAGUGGGGGAUAACGUUCCGAAAGGAACGCUAAUACCGCAUACGUCCUACGGGAGAAAGCAGGGGACCUUCGGGCCUUGCGCUAUCAGGAUGAGCCCAGGUCGGAUUAGCUAGUAGGUGAGGUAAAGGCUCACCUAGGCGACGAUCCGUAGCUGGUCUGAGAGGAUGAUCAGCCACACUGGAACUGAGACACGGUCCAGACUCCUACGGAGGCAGCAGUGGGGAAUAUUGGACAAUGGCGAAAGCCUGAUCCAGCCAUGCCGCGUGU
rnacentral:rRNA from 1 species